AUGAAGAGUUUGAUCCUGGCUCAGGAUGAACGCUAGCUACAGGCUUAACACAUGCAAGUCGAGGGGCAGCAUUUCAGUUUGCUUGCAAACUGGAGAUGGCGACCGGCGCACGGGUGAGUAACACGUAUCCAACCUGCCGAUAACUCGGGGAUAGCCUUUCGAAAGAAAGAUUAAUACCCGAUGGCAUAAUUAGACCGCAUGGUCUUAUUAUUAAAGAAUUUCGGUUAUCGAUGGGGAUGCGUUCCAUUAGGCAGUUGGUGAGGUAACGGCUCACCAAACCUUCGAUGGAUAGGGGUUCUGAGAGGAAGGUCCCCCACAUUGGAACUGAGACACGGUCCAAACUCCUACGGGAGGCAGCAGUGAGGAAUAUUGGUCAAUGGACGAGAGUCUGAACCAGCCAAGUAGCGUGAAGGAUGACUGCCCUAUGGGUUGUAAACUUCUUUUAUAUGGGAAUAAAGUUUUCCACGUGUGGAAUUUUGUAUGUACCAUAUGAAUAAGGAUCGGCUAACUCCGUGCCAGCAGCCGCGGUAAUACGGAGGAUCCGAGCGUUAUCCGGAUUUAUUGGGUUUAAAGGGAGCGUAGGUGGACAGUUAAGUCAGUUGUGAAAGUUUGCGGCUCAACCGUAAAAUUGCAGUUGAUACUGGCUGUCUUGAGUACAGUAGAGGUGGGCGGAAUUCGUGGUGUAGCGGUGAAAUGCUUAGAUAUCACGAAGAACUCCGAUUGCGAAGGCAGCUCACUGGACUGCAACUGACACUGAUGCUCGAAAGUGUGGGUAUCAAACAGGAUUAGAUACCCUGGUAGUCCACACAGUAAACGAUGAAUACUCGCUGUUUGCGAUAUACAGUAAGCGGCCAAGCGAAAGCAUUAAGUAUUCCACCUGGGGAGUACGCCGGCAACGGUGAAACUCAAAGGAAUUGACGGGGGCCCGCACAAGCGGAGGAACAUGUGGUUUAAUUCGAUGAUACGCGAGGAACCUUACCCGGGCUUAAAUUGCAUUUGAAUAUAUUGGAAACAGUAUAGCCGUAAGGCAAAUGUGAAGGUGCUGCAUGGUUGUCGUCAGCUCGUGCCGUGAGGUGUCGGCUUAAGUGCCAUAACGAGCGCAACCCUUAUCUUUAGUUACUAACAGGUCAUGCUGAGGACUCUAGAGAGACUGCCGUCGUAAGAUGUGAGGAAGGUGGGGAUGACGUCAAAUCAGCACGGCCCUUACGUCCGGGGCUACACACGUGUUACAAUGGGGGGUACAGAAGGCAGCUACCUGGUGACAGGAUGCUAAUCCCAAAAGCCUCUCUCAGUUCGGAUCGAAGUCUGCAACCCGACUUCGUGAAGCUGGAUUCGCUAGUAAUCGCGCAUCAGCCAUGGCGCGGUGAAUACGUUCCCGGGCCUUGUACACACCGCCCGUCAAGCCAUGAAAGCCGGGGGUACCUGAAGUACGUAACCGCAAGGAGCGUCCUAGGGUAAAACUGGUAAUUGGGGCUAAGUCGUAACAAGGUAGCCGUACCGGAAGGUGCGGCUGGAACACCUCCUU
rnacentral:rRNA from 1 species